UCCAAUUUGAGAAACCUCCCAGCCAUCUUCUCUUGGCAAAGUUCGAAACCCUUGAUGAAGGCGUCCUGGCCGAACUGGACCUUUAGAUCCUUCAUCUCAGAGGAGGCUUUGAACUCCUCCAUUGCUUGGGCCCUUGCCUCCGAGACCAGGGACGGGAUCCAUGCUUUCAGCUCAGAAACCUGUGCUUUCAACUUUAAAACCUGCACCUUCAAUGCGGAGACCUCGGCCUCAGCCUUCUCUCUCUCCUCUUCCAAGAUGGUCCUC
rnacentral:lncRNA from 1 species